rnacentral:rRNA from 1 species
GAUGAACGCUGGCGGCGUGCCUAAUACAUGCAAGUCGAGCGAACGGACGAGAAGCUUGCUUCUCUGAUGUUAGCGGCGGACGGGUGAGUAACACGUGGAUAACCUACCUAUAAGACUGGGAUAACUUCGGGAAACCGGAGCUAAUACCGGAUAAUAUUUUGAACCGCAUGGUUCAAAAGUGAAAGACGGUGUUGCUGUCACUUAUAGAUGGAUCCGCGCUGCAUUAGCUAGUUGGUAAGGUAACGGCUUACCAAGGCAACGAUGCAUAGCCGACCUGAGAGGGUGAUCGGCGACCCUGGAACUGAGACGCGGUCCAGACUCCUGCGGGAGGCAGCAGUAGGGAAUCUUCCGCAGUGGGCGAAAGCCUGACGGAGCAACGCCGCGUGAGUGAUGAAGGUCUUCGGUUCGUAAAACUCUGUUAUUAGGGAAGAACAUAUGUGUAAGUAACUGUGCACAUCUUGACGGUACCUAAUCAGAAAGCCCCGGCUAACUACGU